rnacentral:misc_RNA from 1 species
GAUGAAGAACGCAGCGAAAUGCGAUAAGUAAUGUGAAUUGCAGAAUUCAGUGAAUCAUCGAAUCUUUGAACGCACAUUGCGCCCCCUGGUAUUCCGGGGGGCAUGCCUGUUCGAGCGUCAUUUCACCACUCAAGCCUCGCUUGGUAUUGGGCAUCGCGGUCCGCCGCGCGCCUCAAAUCGACCGGCUGGGUCUUCUGUCCCCUAAGCGUUGUGGAAACUAUUCGCUAAAGGGUGUUCGGGAGGCUACGCCGUAAAACAACCCCAUUUCUAAGGUUGACCUCGGAUCAGGUAGGGAUACCCGCUGAACUUAAGCAUACAAUAAGCGGAGGA